AGAGUUUGAUCAUGGCUCAGAACAAACGCUGGCGGCGUGCCUAACACAUGCAAGUCGAACGAGAAAUCCCGAGCUUGCUUGGGAGAGUAAAGUGGCGCACGGGUGAGUAACGCGUGGGUAACCUACCUUUGAAUCUGGAAUAACCAGCCGAAAGGCUGACUAAUACCGGAUACGGUUUUUUAGGCUUUGGCCUUUUAAAUUAAAGGUGACCUCUUCAUGAAAGUUGCCGUUCAUAGAUGGGCCCGCGUACCAUUAGCUAGUUGGUGGGGUAAUGGCCUACCAAGGCGACGAUGGUUAGCUGGUCUGAGAGGAUGAUCAGCCACACUGGAACUGGAACACGGUCCAGACUCCUACGGGAGGCAGCAGUGAGGAAUUUUGCGCAAUGGGGGAAACCCUGACGCAGCAACGCCGCGUGAGCGAAGAAGGCCCUUGGGUCGUAAAGCUCUGUCAAGUGGGAAAAAAAUCUUUUGAUCAAUAGUCAAAAGACUUGAUGGUACCACUGGAGGAAGCACCGGCUAACUCCGUGCCAGCAGCCGCGGUAAUACGGAGGGUGCAAGCGUUGUUCGGAUUUACUGGGCGUAAAGAGCGUGUAGGCGGUUUAGCAAGUCAGAUGUGAAAGCCCUGGGCUCAACCCGGGAAGUGCAUUUGAAACUGCUUCACUAGAGUAUGGGAGAGGAGAUUGGAAUUCCUGGUGUAGAGGUG
rnacentral:rRNA from 1 species